ACAACGACAGCACUUUUUCUAAAUUAACAGUUGUUCGAAUCUUUGGUAAUCUCAUUUGCUGUUUGCCACAGCUCAGUGCAAUAGACUUUUACCGUGGGCAGCUGAGGCACCCGGACUCAGGGAAAUCAAGCGCCUGACGCGUCUCACGCGAUCGCACCAAACCCAGGAAGCAGCCCGUGCCUCCCGUCAGGCACCGCGGAGCGAAGCACCGCCCCUCAGGCAUCGGGCCAAUCUCGGCGCGCACGCCGCGUCAGGACCCCGAAACCCGCCCCGUUGGGGGGACGGACAGAUGGAGAAUCCAGAAGCUCAGACCCAGUGCACCAUGUGAACGGUCCUUACCUUCUGGGCAAGCUCCGCAAAGACCUGGGCAAGCACAGAGAGCAGCUUUGCAGUACUACGGUGAGUUGCUAAAGACAUGGUCAGGAAGAAGAGGACGAGGUCUGAGUAGCUGGAGAGGACCGGCACCAGGCGCACCAGCAAGGAACAGGAUUGGCUGAAGAACUGAGAUCAAAACGAAACAAAAGGCCUGCUCACACUGCUUGGCAGCAACUCUGAGCUGACUUGGAUCUAAUUCUUCCCAAUUCAUGCCACAAGCCCAACUCAUCGGCUGAUACCUGAGGAUGAUCCACUGCUCACUGAGCGUGGUCAGGGAGCGCCGCUGUCGGACGAGCAACUUCAUCAAAUGUGCUGAGAACCCUCUGCACCGCUCCACAUUGCCCAUGCCCAUUUCCUGGCAGAAGGAGAAGGAAAAACAUGCUGAAGGGGCUGCUGACAAACACCACCCACAGAUGUGCCGCUACAAAGUUGUUUCUACUAUAAUUGUCAGACAUGCCACACUCUAGAGGAGUUGCUAGUGCUGCGUUAAGCCUGGCAUGCCGUGCAAGAGAGCGAUAAAAAUACUUCUGGCAUCCAUCCCAUGAAGACGAGAUUUCUGUAAGCAGCCUGGAAAAGAUAUCAACCAACAUCGUUUACUUAAUUAAAACCACGCUCUCCCACCCCAGAUCCUGAAAACUCAGAUAUUGGUAUAUUUGACCAUAACCAAGAGUCAGCUGUCUGAAUAGGUUUAUUUCUAUGAGGAAUCAUUCAGUGAGGCACUCAUUAGUCCUUUACUUAACUCAGCACUGGAAGUAUCAAGGGGAAAUAAAUUAUGCUGACAAUAUGGUUUCUUCAAGGAAAUCUUCCUAUCUUGGCAGUGGAGGCUAGGAGGUCAUAAACUCUGAUGCCUACAGGGGGCAGGCAAAUAACAUAAGAGGACUGAGGACAGCCAAGCAUAAAAUGAUGCAUGGCAGUGACAGCUGACCUCAAUGUGGGGAAGACAUAGGGGUUGUUGAGGGCUCAAGUAAGCUGGAGAGCAUGUGUCCUAUCAAAAGGAGGAAACUACUAUUCGGCUAUAGCACUGCUGACUGAAUGGGAAUGCAAGCCCACUUGGCAAAUUUUCCUGAAAAAGAAUGCUUAUGUAAAAUUUCCCGUUUCUACAAUGUUCUGUUGAAUUCAAAUUUAAAGCCCUGGGAGCAAAUAAAACACACACAUGUACUAUACCCA